rnacentral:rRNA from 1 species
AACGAACGCUGGCGGCAGGCCUAACACAUGCAAGUCGAGCGCCCAGCAAUGGGAGCGGCAGACGGGUGAGUAACGCGUGGGUAUCUACCUAGUGGUGCGGAAUAGCCCAGGGAAACUUGGAGUAAUACCGCAUAAGCCCGAAAGGGGAAAGAUUUAUCGCCACUAGAUGAGCCCGCGUUGGAUUAGCUAGUUGGUGGGGUAACGGCCCACCAAGGCGACGAUCCAUAGCUGGUCUGAGAGGAUGAUCAGCCACACUGGGACUGAGACACGGCCCAGACUCCUACGGGAGGCAGCAGUGGGGAAUAUUGGACAAUGGGCGCAAGCCUGAUCCAGCCAUGCCGCGUGAGUGACGAAGGUCUUCGGAUUGUAAAGCUCUUUUGGCGGGGACGAUAAUGACGGUACCCGCAGAAUAAGCCCCGGCUAACUUCGUGCCAGCAGCCGCGG